rnacentral:lncRNA from 1 species
GGACAUACUAUACAAGAAGGUAUGAGACAACAUUUCUAAUUAUACACCCUGCCCUAGGAAAAUAUCUCAACACAGUUUUGAGUUCAACCUGACAUUUUACCCAAGAAGGAAAAAGGAAAAUAAGAGAAGAAACCUGAUUAUUUUGGAAAAGAAAACCUGAUAUUGUCUGCAGUAGUUAGCAUUUCUCAACAAAAAAAAAAGUUAGUUUAUUCUCAUAAUAACCCUGAGAAAACAUUAAACAAAUCGAUACUGCAUACCUAAAAUUAGUCCACUUGGUGGCCAAAACAUUAGUUAUCUCCGUUUGACCUGCAGAUAACAGAUUCAAAUUGGCAAGGGUAAUGAAAGUUUUACAAGCACAGAUAUCAAUGACAAGCAAUAUCACGGUAAGCUGGACCAUGAGAUACCCAAAUCAUGCAAACUUCUCAGCAUCUGCACAGAGGGUUCGACUGAGAGACAUCCAAUUGAAAGUCUAAUUCCAACCUCUGGAUCACGAGAGAUACCAAUUUAGAGCCUUCGCAGCUCUGCCAAAACUUCCUUGUCACCUCCUAGAAUGCACCCAUUCUUGCAGAAAGACUUGUCUAUACAAUUCAACCGCGCAUUAGACCCUCAUGUCAAUAUUAAGCAUCUUUUUCCAAGGAAAUAACACGUGGACUAAACUCAGGGGCCGGGAAAAAUCUCUCCUAUCAUCUUCAAACCUGUCUAUGUGGCACAUAGCCAGCCCCAACCUGAAUAAAGGAUAAGUACUGAGUAGAUUGAUGGCCUACAAGGAUUCCCCUGAAUACUGCAUUCGGCUCUUGAAGUAGGCCUAAACAGAGUGGAAUGGUGGAUGACUUAUAUAAUCGACAACGACCAUUCUAAGAGGCAUAAUUGAUAUCAUCCUCAACCGGAAAUUAGGUUCUUCAAGAAUGAGUCAGGAGAAGUAGUCUCAAAUAUAAAGAAAAUUCCUUAAUGUCACUAAACCAGUAAUAAUAUAAGACAUUCCACUCAUGUGCAAAGUUCGAUGUAUCACUGACUAGGAGAGAUUGUCAAAGAUUUAGGCCAUAGCUAAUCUACUAACAUUAUUCAAUAGAUCCCAUCCUGUCACAACCAUGCUUAAAAGGCUUAAUCCUGUUUCAGUUUCUAACCACUAAUUUCUUUUUUCUACCAUGUUUUUUUUUUUGGAGAAUGGUAAUGAUUUCUUCUACCAUGGUUCCAUUCUGAAAUUAAUUCAAAAAGUUUUUUAUGAUGCAUUUAUAAUAGCCUAUGCGUUGCAAAUAAAGAACAUCCUAUGCCCGAUUGACUACUAUACUGGGAGAUAAGACUGAUAUUGAAAGAGGUUUUCCUAUAUGGUUGUGAGAUCAUUUUGAUUUAGUGUUAUAAAUCAAAUGUGUUGGAAUAUUGAAAGGAUGGGAGACAGGAAAUACAAAAGAACAUACUUGCAGUUAUAUACCCCAAUACUACACUCUGAACAACAAUGAUGCACAUUAUGCACUACAUCAGCCUACAUGUUUUCACAGGGCUAAGUCAUAUUCCACUCCUAAACAGUUCAGUCAUUACAUGAUGCCACAAGCUUGUCAUAUGACUCAUAUACCAUGGAAGGCCUGUAGAAUAUAGAUUAAUCAAGCUAUCUGGUCAAACAUAAACUACAAGUACCUCCUAGUCAAACCGGCCGAUCCUUUUGCAUGAUAUCUCAUCCACUCAAAACAACUACAUACAGAUCGAGCAACCGAGCAGGCAGAAAGCAACACCCUCAUUAAAGUUAAAUGACCUAAAUCUUCAGAGAAAUUAAAUUUAAGCCAAAGAUGAACAUUAGUGAUCUAGUGCUUUAUCUCAACCAUCUUGAUGAGCAUUCAUUCUUGGGAUAAUCCAAAAGAAUGAGUCUACAUCAAGUAGCGAUGAUUCGUCACCUAUAUUAGCAGAUUGACACAAUUACAACUUAAAAGCUAUUUUUUUACAAGGUAAGGUAAUUGUAUAACUUAUAAGCUAUUGCAGUAACGCCAACCUAACUAUCUGCACAAAUUAAAGUGUAAGGGCCUGACAGCAUCUCGCCAAAAAAAAUCCACCCAAAGAAAAACCUCCCUAGCAUAUUCCAGGUAUUCAUCAUAUCAAGCAUGGAAACAGCUGUAUGAACUUAUUUAUAGCACAGAUGAUCCUUCAAAAGCAUUACCCUUGAAAUCUUAUGAGAUCUUGAGCAAAAUAAAUGCAGAAGCAUAGCUCAUCUAGAUUCACUCUCAUGAAAUCAAGACCAAAACGUUAAGCAUCAGCCCCAUGUUCACUUCACAAGAAACUAUUUACAAGCAAGGAAAAUGGGUGUGUGUUCACAAAUUUGAUAUUAAAGCUAACUUGAUCAAAAUGUUUUCAGAUUUCAAUUUCCUAUCUAUUUUGUACCAAAAAGAAGACUAUGUUGCUCGGAGUUAUGUUUACUUGUAUCCUCUACAGUUUUCUUUUUUGACAAGGUGUCCACUUGAACUUUCUUUUCUGUUUUCCUUUUUGCUUGUUUAGGAUCCCUUUAGAAGCAGGGGAUUUUCCAGUCAAAGACCGGCAGUUAUUACACCAUGCAAGAAGACGUUACAGAGGAGGAGUUAAAAUAGAGGUUUAAAAAUUGAACCUGUUAGGAAAUGGAAACUACAUGACCCUAGCACAUAUAUCCGGUCUCUACUUUGGUACAUUUAACAGUUAGCCGUCACUCUGAAGCUGUUCAGCAGGUAUCAGCCACAAGAAAGGCGAUUUACCAAUAUAAGAAGAAUCCUAGCGAUACAGCUCUAAUUAGCCUUUAGUAGCAUGAAAUGCUAAAAUUGGUCUCGCUGCAGUAAAUAACUAGUGGAACUAUACCAUUAUUAUUUUCAACUCUAAAGCAAUCAAUUCUCUGGUGAAAUGUUAGUCUGAACUUUUAACAUUUAACUGAUCAAUUUCUUACUUAAUGACUAUAACUUGAGACAACUGUUCUCUUUUCCUGAUGCAUAAUAGGCAGUCAAUCUUACAAGUGCAAUCUUUCAUUCAUAGGCAAAAUGAUUAGGUAGUAACCUCCGGACCUAGUUCUACUUAGGCAUUGAGAGGAGUUUAAUGGAUUUUCGACUAAGUAUAACACAUAUAACUAGUAAUGUUCUGGAAAAAAAAGAAGAAGAGUGGAACAACCAGUACAAGCCUACAUGAAGAAACAAGUAAGUGCUUGGAUGUCCAUGCUAUUCUAUUUUUGACUUCUAAAAGCUAGUAGUCUUUAAAGCAUCAUCUAAUCAUAAUCCAAUUAACUUCUAAACCUAUUUCUACCUGCAACGCUGAUGUUUUUGCCAAUUAGCAUUUGAUGGGAAGCUUAUUUUUCGCAAAAUUGACAAGUACACGAGACCCUGCCAAAGCUAUAUAAUAAACAGGUAAUUUAAUCAAACAGACAGCUUUUAUACUAGGACAACAAAACACAAUCACAAAAUUUAUUUCACAAAAGAUCAAUUCAUAUACACAAGCUUGUAAAUAACUAGGCAUGUAACUGUACAUUGCACACAAUGAGAACCUCUUGCAACUAUAUGUGAGAAAUUAGAUAAGCAAUGGACUGAAGAAGGUUGUCAAAAGGGUAGAAACAAGAAAGGAAUGAGCACAAAAAGCUGACUCAACUAGAAGAGGACUAGUAUUCUUAUUGCACACCCAAUUAUAUCAAGGCUCAAUGAGGAUAGAACAAUGAGCAUGUAAAUGAAGGAUAAUCUUUUUUAAAUGAGAAGAGAGAGGAGGGAUUGUUAGAGGAACUACUAGGAAGAAACAAGGGCCUC